GACCACAUAGCCCAGUGGAUUAUAGCUCGUUUGACUUUGGAUCAAAAGAGUCUUGUGUUCGACUCCCACUAUGGUCA
rnacentral:tRNA from 1 species